UCUAAUAUGGCAGAAUAGUGCAAUGAACUUAAGAUUCAAAUAUAAAGAAUUUCUUUUAUUAGAA
rnacentral:tRNA from 1 species